rnacentral:lncRNA from 1 species
UUCCUUCUCUUCUUUCUUUUCCUUCCUUCCCGAAGUUUCUUUCUUCUCUUCCCCUCUCCCUUCUUCCUCCCUUGCCUCACUUCUCCCGCGGCCAUGGGAAGGGGCAAUCAAGCUCUCGAUGGCAUGACGACGAAAGGGUGGGCGGCGAAGCCAGAGGAAGACGCAGUCGGAGGAGAUGCGGCGGCAGGGGAGGAGGGAGAAGAGGCGGAGGGCGUCGGGGUGGCGGCGGGAGAGAGGGAGCG